rnacentral:rRNA from 1 species
AGGGUUAAUAACCGAGCAAGUUGAUGGUAACGCAAGAGGAAGAGACGGCUAACUCUGUGCCAGCAGCCGCGGUAAUACAGAGGUCUCAAGCGUUGUUCGGAAUCACUGGGCGUAAAGGGUGCGUAGGUGGCGUGGUAAGUCAGAUGUGAAAGCCCGGAGCUCAACUUCGGAAUUGCAUCCGAUACUACCAUGCUUGAGUACUGGAGAGGUGACUAGAAUUCUAGGUGUAGCAGUGAAAUGCGUAGAUAUCUAGAGGAAUACCAAAGGCGUAGGCAGGUCACUGGACAGUUACUGACACUGAGGCACGAAGGCCAGGGGAGCGAACGGGAUUAGAUACCCCGGUAGUCCUGGCAGUAAACGGUGCAUACUUGGUGUGGGAGGAUUCGACCCCUCCUGUGCCGGAGCUAACGCGUUAAGUAUGCCGCCUGGGAAGUACGGUCGCAAGAUUAAAAACUCAAAGAAAUUGACGGGGA